CCUACGGGAGGCAGCAGUGGGGAAUAUUGCACAAUGGGGGAAACCCUGAUGCAGCGACGCCGCGUGAGUGAAGAAGUAAUUCGUUACGUAAAGCUCUAUCAGCAGGGAAGAAAUACUGACCUUACGGUCAGCAGACGGUACCUGAGUAAGAAGCCCCGGCUAACUACGUGCCAGCAGCCGCGGUAAUAAGUAGGGGGCAAGCGUUAUCCGGAUUUACUGGGUGUAAAGGGAUCGUAGACGGUGCGCCAAGUCUGGAGUGAAAUGCCGCAGCUUAACUGCGGAACUGCUUUGGAAACUGGCGAACUAGAGUGCGGGAGGGGUAAGCGGAAUUCCUAGUGUAGCGGUGAAAUGCGUAGAUAUUAGGAGGAACACCGGUGGCGAAGGCGGCUUACUGGACCGUAACUGACGUUGAGGCUCGAAAGCGUGGGGAGCAAACAGGAUUAGAUACCCUAGUAGUC
rnacentral:rRNA from 1 species